UACGUAGGGGGCAAGCGUUGUCCGGAUUUAUUGGGCGUAAAGGGUGCGUAGGUGGCAAAGUAAGUUGGAUGUGAAAUCCUGGGGCUCAACCUCAGAAUUGCAUUCAAUACUGCUUAGCUAGAGAGCUGUAGAGGAGACUGGAAUUUACGGUGUAGCAGUGAAAUGCGUAGAUAUCGUAAGGAACGCCAGUGGCGAAAGCGAGUCUCUGGGCAGCAUCUGACACUGAGGCACGAAGGCCAGGGGAGCAAACGGG
rnacentral:rRNA from 1 species